rnacentral:tRNA from 1 species
UCCCUGGUGAUCCAGUGGUUAGAACUUGGUGCUUUCACUGCCAUGGCCUGGGUUCAAUCCCUGGUCAGGGAA